UGUUUUUAGUUGGAAUUAUUGGUUAUUGAUUUUUAUUUAUUUAGCAACCUUUUACUUCAGAUAUUUUUGGGAUUCUUACUAGAUCCAGUGGCGAGCAAUAAUUUGAAAAUGAUGGAGAACUACAAAAGCAAAUUACAAUCGAGCUUUAUCAGUAGGGGGAGACCUAGCAUUCAAAAUGUGUAUUGAGCUACAAAGAUCCUGUUUAAUCCUGAUGUUGAGGAGGCAGCUCCACUUCGUGAAAGGAUUUUUUUGAACUGAAUGACCCUGCAUCCCAGGUCUUGAGUUAGCUACAAGACUCUUGCAAAGUUCCCGUUGCCGAAGAUUUCUUGAACCUUACCGAAGGGAAGACAAUUGAGCAGAUAUAAGAUUUAUCAGAGAAAAAGAGUGUUGGUGAUGACUCUGCUGGAGCUUCCCAAGUUUCUGAAACUGGUAAAGAGGCUGAAUUGAAUAUCUCUGUUGAAUGCCAGAUUUCCCCUCACUCCCAGCGUCCAUCACCCCCUGAUGCUGAAGUUGUUGGAAACUCAGUUGCUGGCAAGAAAUCUCUGAAUCUCUGAUAGUUGUGGAAAAUGAGAAGAUCUGAAGAUUGUUUUUUUCUUGUGCUGGCUGUUAGUUAUUUGUCAGUGUUGUGUUUUCCAGUUUUCAGUUUUAUUUCAAUCUGCCUAUUAUUAGUUUGUUUUGUGAUGGCAGAUUAUUUUAUUUAGGUCCCUGUUUUGUUGUCUUA